AUUUCACAUGGGGUUCGCGUUAAGAUCAGGGUUAUAGAGUAAUGUUUGUUGGGGUUGUUUCGUGUGCCUGAAAAGGGCUGGUUUCUUGAUCGUUUCACGAUCUUGAAAACCGGCGGCCAUCUUGAACCUCCCUGUCGUCUAUCCAGUUUAACAAUGAUCACAAGAACCCGGAUAUUAACUAAACUGUAAGAAAAUCUUAGAUAUUGAAGGAAGUGUGGAAAUGUCACGAGGUAUACUUACAUAUCAAACACUCGUUGACGUGCAACAUAUAUUCUUGUAAUAUAAAAGAAGUAAAUGUUAUGGAACGG
rnacentral:lncRNA from 1 species